rnacentral:misc_RNA from 1 species
AGGUGCUUGGCUGCCCACCAGCAGCCAAGGCUUGGCCAGGGCUUCCCCCCCGUUCCCCCCGCACCACUAGCUUGGUGUGGGGGGAGCGUUGGCAACGGGCGCUACCAUUGGUCCGACCGGCGACGGUCGGUCCGGUGGUCCGUCCGGUGGCCGCCCGUCCGGGUGGCCCGGUGCGGAAAAAAUCGGGAAGUGGGAAAAAAUUGGAACGGGAUGGUGCCUUCGAUGUAGCCUAUUUUCGGUGUCCCAACGAUGCCAUUGAGCGGGAAUAACAUUGCAUUUAGAUUUGCCAAUGUUCGACUUACCGAAAACGUUAGCUAUGGCCUCGGUCGUGUGAGUCUAACGCCAAUAGGUGGGUUGGCUGCGGUGGUCUGGGCGUGGUGUGAAGCUCUCUCGGUGUGCAUUGCUGCUCCUCUCGGUGAACAUUCGAUGUGCGUUGGGGGGGAAAAGCAUUGGGCUUGGAUUUGCCAAUGUUCGACUUUCCGAAAACGUUAGCUAUGGCCUCGGUCGUGUGAGUCUAACGCCAAUAGGUGGGUUGGCUGCGGUGGUCCGGGCGUGGUGUGAAGCCCUCUCGGUGUGCAUUGUUGCUCCUUUCGGUGACUUGUUGAUGACCGUUGCAGGGGAAAAGCAUUGGGCUUGGAUUUGCCAAUGUUCGACUAACUGAAAGCGUUAGCUAUGGCCUCGGUCGUGUGAGUCUAAUGCCAGUAGUUGGUUGGGCUGCGGUUGUCUAGGCGCGGUGUGAAGCCCCUGUGGUGUCCAUCAGCGUUGGUUCGAUUUCUGUUGCCUUUCGCGUCUAGCGGUGCUGGUGUGGCCUUUCUCGAUGUUUCUGCAUGCUCAAUGAUGCCAGUCGUCAUUGGGUUGUGGUUCGUUUGGUUAGGUCAUCGCUAAGUGUACGCAACAGACGUAUGAGUGGUGUUUGAAUGGCAUGGGCUCGCAGGCUCCUUGCUCGUGCAACGAACUGUGAGCUAUCCAUUCUUUUCAUGAUUUCCCCAAGCACAAUCAUUGUCUUGUGGGUUAGACCGAUAUCCUGUGUUGCUUACCAACGGAAUGGAAUUCGAUCGGAUUCAUGUCUACAUCCUCCCGACGCCUUUUAGGUCGUUGGGUGGACGAUAAGCUUGCCUCGUGCUCCACACGUGCCUCUCUUUCGUUGUGUGGCCGUUGUGGCUCACGGGGUUAAUGCUCGUUCUCUCGGAUGCGGAUCAUAAUGUGUGGGCGAGGGACCUCCAUUCGUCCGAAGUAUGCAUUUGUCAAUAUGACACGAACGACGGCCGUUCUCGUCUUGGCUCUGGAGUCGCACGGCUCCGUGAGAUUUCAUGCGAGCAUCGGCGUCGCGAAGGAAUGC